GUGUAGGUAAUCCAAAUGGAGGAGAUCUUUGGCUUAGACCCAAAGUUUUGAGAGUUCGAGCCUCUCCCUACAUA
rnacentral:tRNA from 1 species